rnacentral:snRNA from 1 species
AUUACUAUACAUUUAAAAUCAAAU